CCAACUCUGGCAUUUGUCACUCUCUCUUUGGCUUUCCAGAGGACAUUCACUUCCAGCUACUCCAGUAUCAGAUCUGCAAUGAUGUGACUGACUGGAGCUGUAACUGACUCAUUCACAGGCCAAGGACGACUGCCAAAGACAGUGCUCACCACAGAUUUGUGUUUUUCUUCUUGUAAGCAAGAACUGGAUGAGAGGAGAGGAUUUAGAAGCUGAUGACAGCAGAAUGGUGACUGACCACGCUUUGACUCCUCAGAGAGGGCUGUCUCUUCACUAGCUGCUAGGAAACCCUAGGAGACUGUCCAGUUCCACAGCUGCAAGAGCAGCAGGCGCUGGAGUCAGAUGAGUCCAGAGAAGAGACUUUGCUAAAGGCUGGCCAAGAAACCAAGCCACAGGCAGAGACACUGAUUGUGCCGUACUGGGGCUUCUUAACAGUUUGAUGUCUGUGGAACAGAUGGCUGAACAGAAUGAGUUACUGAUGCAGAUGCAAAGUUGACACAGAACCAUCUCCAGGCUCUGAUAAUAAAGAUGGAUGGCUCUGGGAGGGAAAGUUCACACAACAGUGUAUCUUAUCAGCACACUGUACACCCUAAAACUUUGACAUUUCAGCUUGUUCUCAAAAAAGAUGGUUUUUCUUUGCUAUUAUGCUUAUUUUAUUUAUUUUGCUACUGGUCUUUUCAUGGCAACUGCAGAUUGAAGAAAUUUAACCAUAAAGUUUAGUUGUAAUAAUAUAAAAACACUACUUGCAAGACUAGUUAAAACCAGCUUCACCAUGCAGGACUUUAAAACACCCUCCCUAUUAACCAGACUCAUUCCUGCUCUAUCUUUGCCUUCAGCUUGGCCUUUUGGGAGAGCAGGUCCAUAUACUAACAUGUAACUCACAAAUGAUCAUCACCACUGAUCGUAUUAUCUUGAAAUCUAUGCAUUGAUGCCAACAGGAGUUUCAUAAAGUAUCUCAGAUGCUUUUUCUUGUUUCUGUUCUCUGCAGUCCACUGGGCAGUCUGUCAUGAGGUGGUAGCUCAUGUCUGAGGUAUGUUUUUUAACUCUUGCUAGGUUUUCUUUCAUUGGCGCACACACACACUUGACUGCUUGUACUAAACCACUUCGUGCUCUUUUCUCAUUUCCCGUAGUUACAAGACUUACACACAGGAGUUAUCAUUGAAGACAGUGGGAAAUUAGCACAAAACCAGGUCUCACUUCUUCCUCACUUCUUAUUAUGAUUAUUAAUUCAUAACUGUUACUAUGUUCUUUGCUAUUGUAACUUUCUCUUUUAGUAUUCAUAUGCUGUGAAGCCAGACCUCUCCCAGUGCAACCAUAGCUGCACUGAAGCUGGUGCUACAAUUUGGCUCAGCAGGAAGUGGUGGAGCCCUGAGCUGCUCUCAGGGAACGCAGCUGCUGAGUAGGAAAAAGAAUGGUUUUUAUUCUGAGCUCUUAAGCAACAGCCAGAAACAAGUAAGGGCCUACAAAGGAGAAGUCAAAAGUAAUCUUGUGACAGGUUACAUAAAGCGAACAUUUGUGGUUCCAAUUGGCAAAUGGAAACCAGAAAAAGCUUUCUGCAGCGGACUCCUUAAAUAAGCAAUAUGGAUUUGUCACAGCCAGCAGUCCUUUCACUGAAGGGUGGGUUGAUGCUUCUGGCUGGAAUCAGCCCAGUGAGAAACUCCUCGUGGUGUGCUGCUGGCUCUCCACGUUCCCUUUGGACAAGGCAAGUCCCUCCAGCUGAGCCCAGACACUCUCAUCGCUCAGGAUGCAUUAACUCUUGCCACAGUGACACCUGGGUCAGGCCCCGUGUGAGGCUUCCCAACACGGAUGUUUGUGCUCGGACAAAGUCCAUGUCAUUCGUCGCAGCCCUGUCGGUCUCUGGUGCUCCCGUUCAGCAUUUGCCCGAACGGUGGCAGCGAUGGAGAGGGACAUCUGCCGCGGCCCUGGCACAGGUGUCACACAGCUCCACGUCCCUGGGUACCACCGCGAGUUACUCUCGCACGGGCUCGCGAAGCGGUCGGGAAGGGAGGGCCCAGUCCAGCCCAGGACCGAUUUCGCUCGCAGUUGCCCCUGUGCAGCUUCUGGAGCAUUUCCCCACGGCUGUGGCUCUCCCCCGUGGGGACGGCGUUCCCCACAUCCGUCUCUCGCAGGCCCAAGGCUCUCUUGGCUGCAGCGACCAAAGUGCGUGGCACGAGCGCGUCUUUCCUCUCCAGAGGCCAUUGUGCUUACAGACUGUGACAGUCUCGCCAUCAGCACCCCUUCAGCCAUACAUUGGAGCACAGUUCUGCAAGGCUCUACGACCCGAGUAAAACAUUUCUCUUCUUGCCGGUGCUUCUUUGUGAAAGACUGUGAAGGCCGCGCCUCGGGCCCGCCAUGGCGCGGGGCAGCAGCGCCCCCUGCCGGACACCCAGCGCCAUCAAACUCCCCCGGCCUUCUCCCGUGCACGCACCAGGUUAUCUCAGACCCCGAAUAUUUUAAGUCCUGUACACAUUUGUAUGAGAAAAAGGCCCAGGAGCCCAUAAAUAAGCAGAAUUAAACUUGUUCUAUAGAAAAUCUUGGGCCACACAAUUUUGGUUUGAAAUAGAAGUGUGAAGUGUGACUACUAGAAAUGCUGCUUGCUGCACCAGGCAGAGGUGAGGGGAGGACUAGGCAGCCAAUGUGUAAAAUUUUAACAUAAAUAUACUGAGCUAUUGUUACAUUGGUAAUAUGAGUAAAUAUUAAUAAGUUUAAUUUCACAAAUGGAAAUAUCGGUAUAAAAUUGUUUCCCUUAUGUCACAUGGGGACUUAGUAACUGACCUGAGAUUUCAGUUCAGGCAUUACAGAUAAUAUUUGUGGUGAAUGUGUCUACCCACCUAAAGUUUAUGAAAAGAGGGUUUUUCUUAUUGUGUAGAUAGUCAUUGUAAAGAAAUAUCCAUUAAAAUAUCAACAUGCAUUACUCAAAUAUUAUACUCUUGAAGAAAUAUGCUCAAAUCUUGAAGUGGGUAGCUGGAGUUUUAGAGGUCCUGGUGACAAGAUUGUCACAGUCUGUAAUCACAACAGCUUCUGAAGAGAAAAUGCAUGCUCUUGCCAUGUACUUGGACACUAAGUUACAUUUUCAUAGGCACAUUCUUUGUACAACUUUCAGUUCUGCCUCUAAGAGGAUAUCCUCUGGUGUUGAAAAGCAAAGGAGAUGUCCUUUGGGGAUGCUUUCCCAAGGAAUAUCCAGUCUAUCACUUUUACUGAUACCUUUUUUUUUAUUAUUGUGGUAUACCUUUCCUGUGAUACAUUUUUACUCUCACUCCAUGGCCAGCUUGGGCAUGGAGAAUAUUUUUCUACCUUCCUUUUUAUCCACUUCUUUGCAGAAGCCCUUUAUCUAUUAGAAGACAUUUUAUCCUCCUCUAUUUUCUUUUUUCUUGAAAAUUUCCUUGUUCUGUCUUACCUCAUGAGUCCUAUUGUACCUGCUCUGGCUGCAAUCUUGAGAGUCUUCAGCCCAAGAAGUAUCCCCUUCCCUUCCCUUCCCUUCCCUUCCCUUCCCCCUUUUGAUCUUUCCACCAUUCCUCCUUCCUGUCACAGCUGCCACACUUUCUCAAACUUGUUGGAUUUCCUUGGGCUCCCCUGAAUGGCAGAGGUUGGUAGGGGACAGGAUGCUCACCCCAGUGUGGAAGGAUCUGGAAGAUAAAAUGUUUCUUAGACCAGUUCUAAACAUUUUUUCCUCAUUUAUUUUGCUUCUAAGGGCUUUCUGCAUUUGGCUGUAUCUUUCAGACACACUUGGAAAGGGUUUCAAAUGGAAUCUAGUUUUUUUUUCAGUGUCCCAGCCAGCUGUUUAGAAUAGAGAUCCAGAAUUUUUGAAUGUACUUGGAAUUUUCUGUACUUUUAUGUACAGUUUGUGGAUAAGACUAAGUGUGACAGACUUAAAGGGCUUGAAAAGUGAUUGAAAACCAAGUUUUGAAUUUAAUAUGAUUUGAUAAAUCAGUGUACAAAAAAUCAGCAAGCUGAAGUUAAAGAAGAAAAUGUCACUCUAAGAAAAAUAUAUGAAAGAUGCCCAACACAGUUUUUAUUGUCUCUAUAAGUGUUUGUCUUGAAUUUGCAAGACAUCCUUAUGCCAUUACUAAUAAGAUGAAAAAAUGUUAUAUAGAAGCUACUUUUUAGCCCUACAAUAUAAAAGUUGUAGCUUGAUGAAGGUAUCAGUGUUGACAUUGGACAGUAUUUUCCUAAAUAAGAACAUGUUAUAUUUGGUUGGGGUAUGCUAUUGCAACGAGGUACUCUAGAAGCCCUGCCCUAAUAGUUGUACAUUUAAUUGUAUCUGAGUCACAAGAUCUGCUGUGACCAGCAGUUUGUACUUUGUCCUGGAACACAGCACAUAGCCUGAGGAGAUACAUACAUAUUAUCUUUUUAGGUGGAGCAGGAUUUCCAACAUGCUGGUAUUUGCAUUUCAUGUUUAACUGAACUGCGAUACAGAUUUAUACUCGAAUUAUAUACUCCUUAGACAUCUUAUCCUUUAUUUGUCUUCUUUGCUUCUUGUCUGUUGUAUAUUUACCACAGAUUCUAAUCAAGAAAUGAUCCUCUGCUUUUAUUUCCUCAUUAUUUUAUGACACAGCACAACUGUCAUUUUCCAUUGCAAGGCUGCAUCAGUUUAAUUUCUUAUCCUUAAAAUCUGUCUAUUAAGUGUUUGGAAACUUCUGCCACAGUUCUGUCUCUUUCUACAAAAGAAAAGGCAGUCUCCACAGAAAGGCAGUGACAGAAGCUCUUUUGGAAGAGCUGGGCUCAUUUCAUACACUCGCGAGUCUUUAUGAAGGACUACUUGUUGAGAAAAGCAUUUCUGUACAAACUGACAUGCACUUUUAUAUUGUCAGCCAGUGUUAAAAUUGGGUACUGAACACUGAAGUUUUUAGAAGAUGCCAAUGAACAACAUUCUGAAGUUUUUUGUGUGUGAGUAGAGAAUAUACUCAAAAAUACAUCAUGACUGACUGUUCAAGGGCACUAAAAAAAAUACUUGGUUGGAUGCAAAAGUAUUCUCAAUACAAACAUUUAUCUGCCUAGAAAGUAGCUUCUUUUAGUCAGGAAGCCUCUUGCAGGACACAGCAUUGAGGAAACAGUCCCCCUUGAAAUGUACAAGUCACAUGGGACAUGAUCAAUUUGCACAUCAGUCAGAAAGUUAAUGUUCACUAGCAUUAGCUCCUUUCCCUUUCUCCUUCUCACUGUCCCAGCAUAGUUCCCAGAAACUCCUGCCAUGUCCUGUGGGAAGCUGCUGGCCUCUAGCUCCCAGAAAAAGGUAUGAUGUAAAUGCAUUGAUAGGACCAUACUGGUGACAGAUUUCCAAAGGAAUCGUGCUAACACUGAAGAAAGUCCAUAGAAAAUACCUGAUUGUAUCUUAGCUGAGUAAAGCAAAAAGUAAUAAAAAAAGAAUAGAGCUACUUUGAGAAGUGUUUUAAUCUGACAUCAUAAAAUAAUGAGGUGUUCCCUUUUCAAGACUCAGUUUUCUAUAGGUAAAGCAUGGAUGGAGGUACAUGCAAAGUAUUGUGCUUGUAUUUUGCCGUCAUAUCUUGCUUAGCUAGCCAUGCAUGUUUAAGGAGAUGAUUAAUGGAAGCAUACAUUCCUGUUACAAUAACAUGAACUGACUGUGUUGUAAUUGCUAGUGUUGUUUUUGCUGAUAUCUACCUACUAAUCAUUUCUCUCCCCAGCUCACAGAAUCACAGCAUGUCAGACUGGAAAGCACCUCUUGAGAUCAUCUGGUCCAACUCUUGCACAAAGCAGCAUCUCAGGAAAAUCUCAUUCCCUAUCUAUUAUACCAAUUAAUCUUUGUAAUAUAAAAUGAUACUGACUUUCUUUAGAACAUAUGUAUAGUUUACAUUGGACACUGAACUGUCAUGCUUAAGCAAGCAAACUAAAGAACCCCAUCUUAUUGUGAGGAGGAUGACCUGGUUCCCCAGAUAAGGACUUUUCUUCUUGGAAUUUUAAUCACUGUCCAUGAAGAAUAAAAUAUACUCCUGGGCAACCAAGAUAAUCCCAGCACUCUAGCCUCUCUAACAUGUGCUUGAAACCCUCCCAGCGUCUGUCACUAUAGAUAAGUAAAUAUAUCAGGACUGACUCUGGGUGCAUCUGAUCAAUAGAGAAGCAGGUGGAUGAUGACACCAUAGAAAUGUAGUUGCUUUGCGAAGUUUUACUAUGAUAAGUAAAUACUAAUGUGUGUUUGUUAAGCAGCAGUAAGUGAAAUGCGCACCUGAAUGCCUGCCCUGCUUUGAACAGGACACCUCAUGUGCAUGAAUAAAAGAGCUAUGCUGUAAUUCUAA